ACGAACGCUGGCGGCGUGCUUAACACAUGCAAGUCGAACGGAAAGGCCCUGCUUUUGUGGGGUGCUCGAGCGGCGAACGGGUGAGUAACACGUGAGUAACCUGCCCUUGACUUUGGGAUAACUUCAGGAAACUGGGGCUAAUACCGGAUAGGAGCUCCUGCUGCAUGGUGGGGGUUGGAAAGUUUCGGCGGUUGGGGAUGGACUCGCGGCUUAUCAGCUUGUUGGUGGGGUAGUGGCUUACCAAGGCUUUGACGGGUAGCCGGCCUGAGAGGGUGACCGGCCACAUUGGGACUGAGAUACGGCCCAGACUCCUACGGGAGGCAGCAGUGGGGAAUAUUGCACAAUGGGCGGAAGCCUGAUGCAGCAACGCCGCGUGCGGGAUGACGGCCUUCGGGUUGUAAACCGCUUUCGCCUGUGACGAAGCGUGAGUGACGGUAAUGGGUAAAGAAGCACCGGCUAACUACGUGCCAGCAGCCGCGGUGAUACGUAGGGUGCGAGCGUUGUCCGGAUUUAUUGGGCGUAAAGGGCUCGUAGGUGGUUGAUCGCGUCGGAAGUGUAAUCUUGGGGCUUAACCCUGAGCGUGCUUUCGAUACGGGUUGACUUGAGGAAGGUAGGGGAGAAUGGAAUUCCUGGUGGAGCGGUGGAAUGCGCAGAUAUCAGGAGGAACACCAGUGGCGAAGGCGGUUCUCUGGGCCUUUCCUGACGCUGAGGAGCGAAAGCGUGGGGAGCGAACAGGCUUAGAUACCCUGGUAGUCCACGCUGUAAACGGUGGGUACUAGGUGUGGGGUCCAUUCCACGGGUUCCGUGCCGUAGCUAACGCUUUAAGUACCCCGCCUGGGGAGUACGGCCGCAAGGCUAAAACUCAAAGGAAUUGACGGGGCCCCGCACAAGCGGCGGAGCAUGCGGAUUAAUUCGAUGCAACGCGUAGAACCUUACCUGGGUUUGACAUGGAUCGGGAGUGCUCAGAGAUGGGUGUGCCUCUUUUGGGGUCGGUUCACAGGUGGUGCAUGGCUGUCGUCAGCUCGUGUCGUGAGAUGUUGGGUUAAGUCCCGCAACGAGCGCAACCCUUGUUCACUGUUGCCAGCACGUUAUGGUGGGGACUCAGUGGAGACCGCCGGGGUCAACUCGGAGGAAGGUGGGGAUGACGUCAAGUCAUCAUGCCCCUUAUGUCCAGGGCUUCACGCAUGCUACAAUGGCUGGUACAGAGAGUGGCGAGCCUGUGAGGGUGAGCGAAUCUCGGAAAGCCGGUCUCAGUUCGGAUUGGGGUCUGCAACUCGACCUCAUGAAGUCGGAGUCGCUAGUAAUCGCAGAUCAGCAACGCUGCGGUGAAUACGUUCCCGGGGCUUGUACACACCGCCCGUCAAGUCAUGAAAGUUGGUAACACCCGAAGCCGGUGGCCUAACCGUUGUGGGGGAGCCGUCGAAGGUGGGACUGGUA
rnacentral:rRNA from 1 species